rnacentral:lncRNA from 1 species
GUGACCUUUGAAAACUUAUUUUGCUUGUUUUAUUUGGUAUUUAAAGCAUAAAUUAUGUAAAUCUUAUAAGAAAAAUGAUUGAAGAAGGAUUUUGGUAGAAAAGGGAGUAAUUGAGGUACCAAUAUGGAUGAAUGAAGAUGGAUGAUAUAAAUCUCUAUUCCUAUUGGCUAAAAAUCAAGUCCAAUGGACUUGAAGGAGACUGCCUAAGGCCAUAUUAGGGAUUAAGGUUAGUUUUUCAGGGAAUUUGAACUUUAAAGACUAAGAUUAGAGAGUUCAAGUUUUUGGCUAUGGUUAUGGUGCAAAUCUUGUAUGAUUUGGAGUUUAUAUGAAGGAGAUAUAGGCGCUCAAAGUUAAGCUAUUGAUGUUGGAGCUACUGUCACUCUUUUUAACAUAACGCAUGUGUACAAAGGGCAAUUGAGGAUUGGCAAUUGCAAUUAGAUAGAGUACUUUUGCGGCUACACUUUU